rnacentral:rRNA from 1 species
GNUCAGGGUGAACGCUGGCGGCGCGCUUAAUGCAUGCAAGUCGAACGUGCUUUCGGGCARGUGGCASACGGCUGAGUAACGCGUGAGUAACGCACCCUUCGGUGGGGUAURGCCUCGGGAAACUGARGGUAAUCCCGCAUACGAUCCCAGUGCCUUGGUGUUGGGAUGAAAGCCCUCGGGCGCCGAAKGAGCGGCUCGCGUCCUAUCAGGUAGUUGGUGGGGUAACGGCUCACCAAGCCGAUGACGGGUAGCUGGUCUUAGAGGACGAUCAGCCAGAGGGGGACUGAGACWCGGCCCCCACUCCUACGGGAGGCAGCAGCAGGGAAUUUUGGGCAAUGGACGAAAGUCUGACCCAGCGACGUCGCGUGGGGGAUGAASGCUCUAGGGCUGUAAACCCCUUUUCCGAGGGAAGAGGAAGGACGGUACCUCGGGAAUAAGCUCCGGCUAACUACGUGCCAGCAGCCGCGGUAAUACGUAGGGAGCGAGCGUUACCCGGAAUUACUGGGCGUAAAGAGCACGUAGGCGGUUGGAUAAKUCCUUUGUGAAAGCUCCCGGCUCAWCUGGGAGAGGUCAGGGGAUACUAUUCGACUCGAGGACUGUAGAGGUAAGCGGAAUUCCCGGUGUAGCGGUGAAAUGCGUAKAUAUCGGGAGGAACACCAGCGGCGAAAGCGGCUUACUGGRCAGUGCCUGACGCUGASGUGCGAGAGCGUGGGGAGCAAACUGGAUUAGAUACCCAGGUAGUCCACGCCCUAAACGAUGAAUACUAGAUAUAGGGGGUAUCGACCCCUCCUGUGUNGCAG